CACAUACACCCCUAGUUGCGAGUCAUUGGUCGGCAUGCAACCGGGUACCUUCGACAAACACAUACACCCUUAGUUGCGAGUUGCUGGUCGGGAGGCAACUGGGUCCCUCGACAAACACACACCCUAGUUGUGAGUUGAUGGUCGACAUGCAAUUGGGGACACUCAACAAACACACACAUCCCUAGUUGCGCGUCAAAGACUUGCAACUAGUAAAAAAAAAGUUGUCCCCAGUUUGGUUGUAGACAAAAAAAUCUUGAAUUUUAAAAAAAGUACAUCAAAAUUAAAAACAAGAAAGGAAACAGAAAACUAAAAAGAGAGCAUAAAAAUAGAAAAUAACAUGAAUUUAGAAAAACUUCAUGGGUUCAAAACAAAUAAAUGGAAAGGGAUGAAAGAAAAACUACACCCUCGGGCAUUGCCUGUCGCAACUAGGUCGGGCAUGAGUUCUGUGUUGGUGUGGACAUGCAACUGGGUUGAGCAAAUUGUGUGUCGGUGUUCGAGUACAACUACAUAGGUGUAUUUGGUUGGGUGCGUAUGUCGAAGAUGGACAUACACCUAGGUCGAACGAGUUAUGUGUUAGAGUUGGACAAACAACUAUAUAUAGAUACUGGGUCGAGCACGAAUUGCGUGUCGAAAGUGGACAUGCAACUAGAUCAGGCAUGAGUUGCGUGCUAAUAUUGAACGCGCAACUAAAUAAGGGUCUGGGGAAUUUGAUGAUAGACAUGUAACUGACACCACCAAAAAAUAAAGAAUUUAAAAAACCAUGAAUCGGAAACAAAUAAAUUUAAUAGAUAAAGGAAAAAAACAAACAAAAAAUAACGCAGCCCAGCUCCUUCAAUUCUGCCCGUACAAAAGGAACAAAAACAACGGAUCACAAGAACAUAUAACGUGAUUCUCAAAAAAAAACUCAUAACGUGUUCUAAAAAACCCACAUAUAUAACAAAAAAAAGGCCCACAUGCCCAGACCCGUACAGGAAAAGGGACUCUCGGUGUGCGCGAUCGAAAAAACUGCCCCAAAGGACACUAGCGACACGAGACUUAGAGACAAAAAAAACAUUUUGUACAAAUCUUGAAGCCCCUAAUUAUGUGGUGAACAACUUAGAUGUGACAUCCUUAAAAAACAUUUAGAUAUGAAUUAGUCAUUUGUUAAAAAAAACUUGAUGUGGGACUAUUUAAUAGUAUCUAACAUAUAAAGCCUGCUAUGCUACCCGCCAUUCCAGAGCAACCGCGCGCUACGCCUGUUGGGCCGAACGAUCUAUCUACUGUAGCUGUGUUUUGGCUGCUGGCAGCAGGUCAGCCGUCGGUUGUUUUUCACGUUUCUUAGUUGCUUCAUAAGUGGAUGACGAGUGGGGCUGGCUAUGUGUGGGGUCAAUACAACAUAAUGGUUUUUCUCCUGCCCUGCGUAAAAGAAGAAAAAACCUAGACCGACGAGGCGACGCAGCUUCCUCCUCCCCUCGGUCUCUUCUCGCCUCCUCCUCUCCCCCCUCUCGCUCGCCGCCGCCGCCAUGGCCUCCCCUGCCGCUCAUCUCCACCUCCUCAUGCGAGCCCAAUCGCUGCCCAGUCCAUCCCCUCAGCCCAUGGAUUCCGGGGCAUCCCCUCUCGGCCACCACCUCUCCUUCUCUCUUUGUUUCCCCAGAUCCCGAUCUGGAGCGGGAGAGACAGAUACGGCCAAAAGCGCCGGUGCCGGCGUGGGAUGAUAAAGGCCGCCACCUCUCCUCACCUCCUCCCAUGUUCCGGUGGCGGCACCGGGGAAGAAAGGAGCAGCAACCAUAGCAGGCACGGUGCUGGCAAACGCGAGCGGCAGCAGCCGCAGCAGGAGGCAGUGUUGAUGAAGCGGCAGUCUGUGUCGUCGCCGCCGCUGUCGUACUCUGGGAGAAGGUCAAGCCAACAUGAAUCAACAACGCCACAGAAACGACCAUGGGUCCUGGAGCCGAGACCUUCGCAAUAAGCAUCGCACAGACCUGGAGAGUUUAGCGUUGACGUCACGGACAUUGAGAACACUUUGCAUUACCCUCAAAAAAGAGAACACUUUGCAUUAUUUGUGCUAGCCAUUGGAGAGAGUAUAAGAAGCACAUGUUCUCGUGUUCUGAAAGAAGUUGUUGGUUUCGCUACCUGUUUGCUUCUCUUGGUAAAUGAGGGCUCACAUGAGAAGGUAGCUAGAUGUUAGACUCGAACCUACGUGAGUGGGAGCAUUCGUCUACCCUGCCUGUGGUGCGUGAGCUCUUGCAGCAGGAUAAACCAUUAUAUUUCGUCUUCAAUGCAGCAUAUGCAGGAACUGCUUUGGCUCUGGCUUGCACACCUUUGUUGUAUUUAGGGCCUCAUAUUGCCCUUUUCACAAUGAAAGCGGUUCAGUGUGGCCGGGUUGAUUUAAAGAGUGCUCCUUAUGACAUUAUUCUUUUUAA